rnacentral:rRNA from 1 species
GACGAACGCUGACGGCGUGCUUAACACAUGCAAGUCGAACGGAAAGGCCCUGCUUUUGUGGGGUGCUCGAGUGGCGAACGGGUGAGUAACACGUGAGUAACCUGCCCUUGACUUUGGGAUAACUUCAGGAAACUGGGGCUAAUACCGGAUAGGAGCUCCUGCUGCAUGGUGGGGGUUGGAAAGUUUCGGCGGUUGGGGAUGGACUCGCGGCUUAUCAGCUUGUUGGUGGGGUAGUGGCUUACCAAGGCUUUGACGGGUAGCCGGCCUGAGAGGGUGACCGGCCACAUUGGGACGGAGAUACGGCCCAGACUCCUACGGGAGGCAGCAGUGGGGAAUAUUGCACAAUGGGCGGAAGCCUGAUGCAGCAACGCCGCGUGCGGGAGGACGGCCUUCGGGUUGUAAACCGCUUUCGCCUGUGACGAAGCGUGAGUGACGGUAAUGGGUAAAGAAGCACCGGCUAACUACGU